rnacentral:rRNA from 1 species
AAAUUUUAAAAUUAUAAUACUAAAAUAGUAAAUAAUUAUUUAUUAAAACUUAAAUAAUUUGGCGGUAUUUUAGUUUAUUUAGAGGAAUCUGUUUAAUAAUUGAUAUUCCACGAAUAAAUUUACUUAAUUUAUAAUUUUGUAUAUCGUUGUUAUAAAAAUAUUUU